rnacentral:rRNA from 1 species
UGUUGGUGAGGUAACGGCUCACCAAGGCGACGACGGGUAGCCGGCCUGAGAGGGUGACCGGCCACACUGGGACUGAGACACGGCCCAGACUCCAACGGGAGGCAGCAGUGGGGAAUAUUGCACAAUGGGCGCAAGCCUGAUGCAGCAACGCCGCGUGAGGGACGACGGCCUUCGGGUUGUAAACCUCUUUUAGUAGGGAAGAAGCGAAAGUGACGGUACCUGCAGAAAAAGCACCGGCUAACUACGUGCCAGCAGCCGCGGUAAUACGUAGGGUGCAAGCGUUGUCCGGAAUUAUUGGGCGUAAAGAGCUCAUAGGCGGUCUGUCGCGUCUGCUGUGAAAACCCGAGGCUCAACCUCGGGCCUGCAGUGGGUACGGGCAGACUAGAGUGCGGUAGGGGAGAUUGGAAUUCCUGGUGUAGCGGUGGAAUGCGCGGAUAUCAGGAGGAACACCGAUGGCGAAGGCAGAUCUCUGGGCCGUAACCGACGCUGAGGAGCGAAAGCGUGGGGAGCGAACAGGAUUAGAUACCCUGGUAGUCCACGCCGUAAGCGUUGGGCGCUAGAUGUGGGGACCAUUCCACGGUUUCCGUGUCGCAGCUAACGCAUCAAGCGCCCCGCCUGGGGAGUACGGAA